rnacentral:rRNA from 1 species
GACGAACGCUGGCGGCGUGCUUAACACAUGCAAGUCGAACGGAAAGGCCCUGCUUUGGUGGGGUGCUCGAGUGGCGAACGGGUGAGUAACACGUGAGUAACCUGCCCUUGACUUUGGGAUAACUGCAGGAAACUGGGGCAAAUACCGGAUAGGAGCUCCUGCUGCAUGGUGGGGGUUGGAAAGUUUCGGCGGUUGGGGAUGGACUCGCGGCUUAUCAGCUUGUUGGUGGGGUAGUGGCUUACCAAGGCUUUGACGGGUAGCCGGCCUGAGAGGGUGACCGGCCACAUUGGGACUGAGACACGGCCCAGACUCCUACGGGAGGCAGCAGUGGGGAAUAUUGCACAAUGGGCGGAAGCCUGAUGCAGCAACGCCGCGUGCGGGAUGACGGCCUUCGGGUUGUAAACCGCUUUCGCCUGUGACGAAGCGUGAGUGACGGUAAUGGGUAAAGAAGCACCGGCUAACUACGUG